GGAGAGGCGAGACGGUGGUUUUGGAAUGGAGAUGAUGGAGAGGAGAGGUUUCCCUGCCUUUCGGUCACUGACAGGUGGGCCCCGUGCUUGGUGGGACCCAUGUGUCAGUGUCUCAAUGGCAGGAUGGGCUAUGUCAGGGGAUCCUCGCCCGAGGAGAGAGGAGUUGAUUUUGCAAUGGAGAAGAGGGAGAGGCGAGACGGUGGUUUUGGAAUGGAAAUGAUGGAGAGGAGAGGAGGUUGUUUUGCAAUGGAGAAGAGGGAGAGGAGCGUGCGGCAGCGAUUUAGGAUUGGACGAGAGGGCCGGCGCGCUGUGACUGGAUCAAAAUCAAAAUCAAUUUACCCUUCAAUUAAGAAAGCGACCCCACAUUAACUAGACUCCCUUUUAUUCUAGGUCAUAAUUGACCAUGAUUUUCACAAAUAAAAUAUAUGUUAUACGUUGCAAAAAUAAUAUAAUUUGAAAGUACAUUCAAAUACGAACCAACAAUACAAUUUUUGGUGACAUCCAUUCAUAUUUUGCUUGUCAAAUACAGUACGUGGUCAAACUUUGACACAAAAUACGCAAAACAAAAAAAAUA
rnacentral:lncRNA from 1 species